rnacentral:rRNA from 2 species
GGCGUUAAUAUAUGACCCGAUUAGCAGCUUCCGGGAAACCAAAGUUUUUCGUUUCCGGGGGAAGUAUGGUUGCAAAGCUGAAACUUAAAGGAAUUGACGGAAGGGCACCACCAGGAGUGGAGCCUGCGGCUUAAUUUGACUCAACACGGGAAAACUCACCCGGCCCGGACACCGUAAGGAUUGACAGACUGAGAGCUCUUUCUUAAUUCGGUGGGUGGUGGUGCAUGGCCGUUCUUAGUUGGUGGAGCGAUUUGUCUGGUUAAUUCCGAUAACGAACGAGACUCUGGCCUAUUAAAUAGACGAUAUAUUUAAAAGUAUAUCGCGCUUCUUAGAGGGACAAGCGGCGUCUAGCCGCAUGAAAUAGAGCAAUAACAGGUCUGUGAUGCCCUUAGAUGUCCGGGGCUGCACGCGCGCUACACUGAAAGAAUCAGUGUGCGUUACGCCUAGUUCGGAAGAACCGGGUAACCCAAGUAAAUUCUUUCGUGCUUGGGAUAGGGAAUUGCAAUUAUUUCCCUUAAACGAGGAAUUCCCAGUAAAUGCGGGUCAUAAGCUCGCGUUGAUUACGUC